UACGGAGGAUCCAAGCGUUAUCCGGAUUUAUUGGGUUUAAAGGGUGCGUAGGCGGCCUAUUAAGUCAGGGGUGAAAGACGGUGGCUCAACCAUCGCAGUGCCUUUGAUACUGAUAGGCUUGAAUGAACUUGAGGUAGGCGGAAUGUGACAAGUAGCGGUGAAAUGCAUAGAUAUGUCACAGAACACCGAUUGCGAAGGCAGCUUACUAAGGUUUAAUUGACGCUGAGGCACGAAAGCGUGGGGAUCAAACAGG
rnacentral:rRNA from 1 species